GCCUCCCCUGCCCGCCCCACAACCCCACCCCAGCCAACACACCAGAGAGAAUGGCCCAUUGCUUUGCCCCACCAUUAAAUUGGUCAGAGCUAAGAGCCCAGCCAGCUGGCGUUCUACCCAGGAAGGGCUGUAGUGCCGACAGGCGACUAGCUCGAACUGCGCCAGUCCGAGAGCAUUACUGCCGCCUCCCACGAGCUCCGCUGCGGUUGCACUGCUGAUUGGCUGGCUCCACUCUCUUCUAAGUGGCUUAGCCUUGCGUUCGCGCAGGGACACAUCCAAUGAGGAGCGAGGGCGCUUUCAGGAGGCGGGCAUUGCUCUACCGGUUCCACUUCUGAUUGGUCCAGGGGCUUGCCUCUUCUCUUUUGAUCGAUCAGAGGGGCGGGAGGCGGGAGCCCAGCUCAACGGUUUCAGGCGGCAGUUGGGAGUUCUGUCCCUGUGCUUCGAAAGUUCAGCUUCAGGACUCGGUGGAGUGUUGUCUGGCGCCUACUUCCCCGCAGCUAGCUGAGGAACUGGGGAGGGAACACGGGGGCAGGAGGACCUGGGACUGUAGCUGCAGCUCCAAGUCGGGAUGGAGACCGACUGAGGCGAGUGGCGGACCGGCGGGUGCAAACCCCUCAAAAAGCUGGAAGAGUCAGGUGCUGUAGUAGUAGUAGUAACAGCAGCUCCCGUUCACCGAGCCCUUUUGGUGGACCGCUGUGUGUGCAUCAUCUCACUGACUCCUUCUAAAUAACCCUGUUACUCUGCCGGUUAACCUCCGAGGGUCAUUUGUCGCCCACAGCGAGAGCCCGCAUUGCUGGAACUCCGACCUUGUUCUAGAGAGUCCGGCAUUCGAGCUACACCAUGAUUAAGUAGGGUUGAUCUUGUAGAUGUGGGGUGGGGCCUGAUGUGAUCACCUUGGCCCUGGCUUACCUCGUCCAUACAUGAAGGUGUUUGGGUUUUGGUUUCGGACUAGGAUCUGAUCCUGAAGGCUUCACUCAGUACAUAUGCUCAAGUCCUCAAACUUUUAGGGAAUGGUUUAACCCUUCCUGGCAACGCUGCAAGCCCUGCCACGUGAACAAACUUGGGCUGGCCUGCGGUAGACACAUGGCCCAGUUCAGAGUCAUUACCCCAGCCACCUACACCCACUGCCAGCCAGCCAUACAUGUGAGUGAAACCACCCCAGACCAAACAGCCCCCAGUCACCCCACUAGCUGACUGCGGCUGCGAGAGUCAGCCCAGGUGAGACCAACUGCAGAACUGAACUGCCUGGCUGGGCUCAGCCCAAAUGGUCCGGAAGAAUCAGGAGCUACAAAAUAAUAAUUAUUUUAAGCCACUGUGUUUCGGGUGGUUAAAUAAAAAAAGCUAACUGACAUACCCUGGACCAGAGUAGUUUCUAGGCAACAAAUAUCACUUACCUGGAUUCUGGGUCUUGAAAGUUGAAACAUUCCUUCUGUUUCCAGACUGGUUUCUUCAAUUUUUUGAAAGAAUUUUUAUGAGAUGAACUUAUUUAAAAAAAUUUUUUUUUAAUAUUUAUUUUUGAGAGACAGAGCAUGAGUGGGGGAGGAGCAGAGAGAGGAAGACACAGAAUCCAAAGCAGGCUCCAGGCUCCGAGCUGUCAGCACAGAGCCCGAGGCGGCGCUCGAAUGGAAGAACAAUGAGAUCAUGACCUGACCCGGAGUCAGCUGCUUAAUAACCGACUGAGCCUUGGAGGUGCCCCUUAUGUGAUGAACUUUAAUGCCUGGGAUCUUUGGGUCAUUUUUCCCCCAGUAGGACUGAAAGUGGCUUUUCAAAAAACAAACAAAAAAAAACCCAGUUGCUCUGUUUUGUAUCUUUCUAUUUUCAUUUGCAGAGCAUCUGAAUAGGCAAUUAAGGGAGAAAUCAUGAUUCUAUUUCAUAUUUUUGAUACUUCUCUUGGUUAAAUGAUGCAUCCCUAGCUGGGCUCAAGGAGGUGCUAGAGGUGGCCAGCUACCAGGGGGAGGGGAGUAACAGCCACCUGUUGGGCACAGCCCAUUGCCAACUGGAACAAAGCCCUGGAAUCUGGAGAGAAGCCCCUAACUUGCAGUGUCCCUCUAGCGCCCUCUACCGACAAGACCUGACCUCAUGCCAGCUGAUAAAUACUGGAAUUAAGAGGCAAUCAAUCAAAAAUUGGCCCCGUGACUAAUGGGCUCCCCAAAUGUAAUAACAUUUGAUAGUCAAGAGAAUGGCUAACAUUGAGUUCUCAGUGCUUUUUGUGUUAUUUAUCUCUGAAUAAUCAGGAGACAGCUUCUGGGGAGAGAGGAUAGUGGUCCUUUCUGUGUCUAUGGUCUGUUCACCCUUCCCUAGGCUCAGAGCCUGAGUUGGCCCUGGGUAGCCAACUUUCCCCCUGGCAGGGCAGGCCCAUCGGGUGGAGCUGAGUCCAUCCCUGCUCCAAGGCAGGCAUGUGCCCCAGGGAUGGUGAGUCAGAGCUCUCUCCAACCCUCCACACCACAUUGCGGUGAUGGGACAAUGGGAAAUAAUCCAGGGGAGGAGCCAUGUCACCUCCAGAAACUCAGACAUCCAGACAGGAUGUGGAUGUGGUGCUGACACUCCUUGCCUCGCUUCCUUGUAGUUUUAAAAAUUCCUUUUUCUACCUAGCACUUACUAUCCUCUGACAUGUAUUUUUCCCUUCUUGGUUUCCUUGAUCUCCUCCUCUGAAAGGUAAGCUUUUAUAAAGGGAGAGACUGAGGUCUGAUUUGUUCCCUGCCGAGUCCCCAGAUCUAGAACAGUGCCUGGUACACAUGUUAGGCAAGCAAUAAAUAUCUGAAUGUAUGAAUGAGUCAUUAACAACUAUACCGCCUAGGACAGGGGCAGAUGCAACUUACCUCAGCAUAGCUUCCUGGGCCCCCAACUGGGUCUUAAGAUAUCAGUGACAUUGUCUGCAUAACAUUGGUUCUCACUGGAUCUGGAAAAUUUGAGUCUUCUAAUUCUACAGUGCCUUGAAUACCCAGGACUUAACACCAGUUAAAGAAUUUUUGAUAAAUUCAGUGCGUUGUCCAUUUGGUAACAUGAACAUCUUGUGAGUUGGUUUCUAGUGAAUCACCCUAUUUCCUUAUUUUCACUCCAGUCCUCAGCCAUGUGUAAUUUCUUCCUGCAAUCCAAAAUGAAAACAUUUUGAAAUAAUGCCAACAGAUAAAAAAUUUCAAAUAGGGGUGCCUGGGUGGCUCGGUCAGUUGAGUGCCCGACUUCGGCUUAGGUCAUGAUCUCCUGGUUUGUGGAUUCGAGCCCCGCGACGGGCUCUGUGUUGACAGCUCAGAGCCUGGAGCCUGUUUCGGAUUCUUUGUCUCUGUCUCUCUCUCUCUCAAAAA